rnacentral:rRNA from 1 species
GACGAACGCUGGCGGCGUGCUUAACACAUGCAAGUCGAACGGAAAGGCCCUGCUUUUGUGGGGUGCUCGAGUGGCGAACGGGUGAGUAACACGUGAGUAACCUGCCCUUGACUUUGGGAUAACUUCAGGAAACUGGGGCUAAUACCGGAGAGGAGCUCCUGCUGCAUGGUGGGGGUUGGAAAGUUUCGGCGGUUGGGGAUGGACUCGCGGCUUAUCAGCUUGUUGGUGGGGUAGUUGCUUACCAAGGCUUUGACGGGUAGCCGGCCUGAGAGGGUGACCGGCCACAUUGGGACUGCGAUACGGACCAGACUCCUACGGGCGGCAGCAGUGGGGAAUAUUGCACAAUGGGCGGAAGCCUGAUGCAGCAACGCCGCGUGCGGGAUGACGGCCUUCGGGUUGUAAACCGCUUUCGCCUGUGACGAAGCGUGAGUGACGGUAAUGGGUAAAGAAGCACCGGCUAACUACGUG